AAAGGAUCAUGCCAGCCCACAUCAAACACCUGAUCAAGAACUUGUGAACCUCACGCUGCAGACACCUGUGUGAUAUUCCACUCUGACUGGAACCCUCAAAAUGACCUGCAGGCUCAAGCUCGGUGUCAUCGUUUUGGCCAGUCUAAGGCGGUGGAGGUGUACCGUCUGAUCACUAGAAACUAUGAGAGGGAAAUGCUGGAUAAAGCUAGUCUGAAGCUCGGGCUGGACCGUGCCGUCCUGCAGAGCAUGAGUGGCAACAACAACGGGCCGGUCCAGCAGUUCUCCAAGAAGGAGAUCGAGGACCUGCUGAGGAAAGGAGCCUAUGCCGCCAUCAUGGACGAGAACGACGAAGGCAACCACUUCUGCUA